rnacentral:rRNA from 1 species
GACGAACGCUGGCGGCGUGCCUAAUACAUGCAAGUCGAACGCAGUGGGGACGGGUGAGUAACACGUGGGUAACCUCCCAUCAGAGGGGAUAACACUUGGAAACAGGUGCUAAACCGAUAUUGAUUGAUGGACCCGCGGUGCAUUAGCUAGUUGGUGAGGUAACGGCUCACCAAGGCCACGAUGAAUAGCAGACGUGAGAGGGUGAUCGGCCACACUGGGACUGAGACACGGCACAGACUCCUACGGGAGGCAGCAGUAGGGAAUCUUCGGCAAUGGAGGAAAGUCUGACCGAGCAACGCCGCGUGAGUGAAGAAGGUUUUCGGAUAGUAAAACUCUGUUGUUAGAGAAGCGGUAUCUAACCAGAAAGCCACGGCUAACUACGUGCCAGCAGCCGCGGUAAUUC